UCAUGCACAAGGAACAUUCUUCAACCUUUCCGAUUCUUCAUCCUUUUCGAAUAUUUUGUCACCCAAAAUAUCUUUGGCCCAUACUUCACACUCGCUCUAAGUUUCCAACCACAUCCUUGAACACGACACUUAGCCACAUACAGAGUUUUUGUUGUCUUAUAUGCUGAAAAUGUAAAAUUAUAUUCCACAGUCACCGACUUCAGCUUUGAAACAAGCUCAGCCUUACUAGCAAAACUAUAAACGAAGACUUAGAAAUACGUCUACAAUUAUUAGCUAACAACAUUAUCAAAUCAAAUGAAUUAUACCUUCAUAAUUAUAAAAAAAAAAUUAUUUUCAAAAUCACUCAAACCCAUUAGGAUUAAC
rnacentral:lncRNA from 1 species